rnacentral:rRNA from 1 species
UACGUAGGGGGCAAGCGUUGUCCGGAUUUAUUGGGCGUAAAGAGCGUGUAGGCGGCCAUGUAGGUCCGUUGUGAAAACUCGAGGCUCAACCUCGAGACGCCGAUGGAAACCAUGUGGCUCGAGUCCGGAAGAGGAGAGUGGAAUUCCCGGUGUAGCGGUGAAAUGCGCAGAUAUCGGGAAGAACACCCGUGGCUAAGGCGGCUCUCUAGUACGGUACUGACGCUGAGACGCGAAAGCGUGGGGAGCGAACAGG